rnacentral:ncRNA from 1 species
AUUGUUGGGCGUAAAGCGUCCGUAGGUGGCUUUUCAAGUCGAUCCGUCGUCAAAUCCCAGGGCUCAACCCUGGAUAGGCGGUGGAAACCACCAAAGCUGCAGUAUGGUAGGGGCAGAGGGGAGAAUUUCCGGUGGAGCAGUGAAAUGCAUUGAGAUCGGAAAGAACACCAACGGUGAAAGCACUCAUUUUAAGUCAUCUUGUUGGAGAGAUGCUCUAGGAUGACGAC